ACAACAGGUGGAGCCUGCGGUUUAAUCGGACUCAACGCCGGGAAACUCACCAGAUAAGACAGCUGAAUGAUAGUCGGGCUGAAGACUCUACUUGACUAGCUGAGAGGAGGUGCAUGGCCGUCGUCAGUUCGUACUGUGAAGCAUCCUGUUAAGUCAGGCAACGAGCGAGACCCACGCCAACAGUUGCCAGCUCGUCCUCCGGGAUGGUGGGGACACUGUUGGGACCGCCUCUGCUAAAGAGGAGGAAGGAAUGGGCAACGGUAGGUCAGCAUGCCCCGAAUUAUCUGGGCUACACGCGGGCUACAAUGGGUGGGACAAUGGGUAUCGACACCGAAAGGUGAAGGCAAUCUCCUAAACCCAUCCGUAGUUCGGAUUGUGGGCUGCAACUCGCCCACAUGAAGUCGGAAUCGCUAGUAAUCGCGAAUCAGCAGGUCGCGGUGAAUACGUUCCCGGGCCUU
rnacentral:rRNA from 1 species